rnacentral:rRNA from 1 species
CCUACGGGAGGCAACAGUGAGGAAUAUUGGUCAAUGGCCGGAAGGCUGAACCAGCCAUGCCGCGUGAAGGUCAGUGCCCUAUGGGCGUUAAACUUCUUUUGUGCGGGAGCAAUAAUGGUCACGUGUGGCCAGACGAGAGUACCGUACGAAUAAGCAUCGGCUAACUCCGUGCCAGCAGCCGCGGUAAUACGGGGGAUGCAAGGGUUAUCCGGAUUUAUUGGGUUUAAAGGGUGCGUAGGCUGUGAGGUAAGUCAGCGGUGAAAUGCCCCCGCUCAACGGGGUGAAGUGCCAUUGAUACUGCCUGGCUGGAAUGCGGAUGCCGUGGGAGGAAUGUGUGGUGUAGCGGUGAAAUGCAUAGAUAUCACACAGAACACCGAUUGCGAAGGCAUCUCACGAAUCCGCGAUUGACGCUGAUGCACGAAAGCGUGGGUAUCAAACAGGAUUAGAUACCCCAGUAGUC